rfam:Schistosoma haematobium scaffold35_18, whole genome shotgun sequence.
AUCCAGCUGACGAGUCCGAAAUAGGGCGAAACAUGGGUCCUAGAU